rnacentral:rRNA from 1 species
AACGAACGCUGGCGGCAUGCCUAACACAUGCAAGUCGAACGAGACCUUCGGGUCUAGUGGCGCACGGGUGCGUAACGCGUGGGAACCUGCCCUUAGGUUCGGAAUAACUCCCGGAAAGGGUUCUAAAUCCGGAUAAUGUUCUUCGGACAAAGAUUUAUCGCCUUUGGAUGGGCCCGCGUUGGAUUAGCUAGUUGGUAGGGUAAAAGCCUACCAAGGCGACGAUCCAUAGCUGGUCUGAGAGGAUGAUCAGCCACACUGGGACUGAGACACGGCCCAGACUCCUACGGGAGGCAGCAGUGGGGAAUAUUGGACAAUGGGCGAAAGCCUGAUCCAGCAAUGCCGCGUGAGUGAUGAAGGCCUUAGGGUUGUAAAGCUCUUUUACCCGGGAUGAUAAUGACAGUACCGGGAGAAUAAGCUCCGGCUAACUCCGUG